AGCACUAGAUUUAAAUGACGAGUAAUUUAGAUGAUUAAUUUAUUUUGUGGUUAAUAGAAGUAUGACUCUUAUUUUAAAUUAGGAGUGGGCCACACCCACUACUCCUCUAUCGGUUAUGUACAGGAUUAGGGUAAAAUUAAUAAGGACUAGUAGUUUAUUCUCCAAACUCUAAGAAGCCCAAAAAAAAAAAAAAAAAAGAGGAACGAAUUCUAAGAGAAAUUUGAAAAGGACGAGCACUCCAGAUUUGGACCUUUCGAAAGCUUUAUGGAAGGGCAAGAUCUUGGCAAAUAAGCUUGUGUUUGACUUCUUUGAUUGAGUGCAAAAAAUGUUCUAGCGGCUCAGACAUGUCUUGAACUCUAGAAUUUGAUUGUGGAUCUUGAUCUAAGGGGGACC